rnacentral:rRNA from 1 species
AUUGAACGCUGGCGGCAGGCCUAACACAUGCAAGUCGAGCGAGCGGCGGACGGGUGAGUAAUGUCUGGGAAACUGCCUGAUGGAGGGGGAUAACUACUGGAAACGGUAGCUAAUACCGCAUACCAUCAGAUGACCCCAUAUGGGAUUAGCUAGUAGGUGAGGUAACGGCUCACCUAGGCGACGAUCCCUAGCUGUUCUGUGAGGAUGAUCAGCCACACGGGGACGGAGACAAGGCCCAGACUCCGACGGGAGGAAGCAGUGGGGAAGAUUGCACAAUGGGCGCAAGCCUGAUGCAGCCAUGCCGCGUGUAUGAAGAAGGCCUUCGGGUUGUAAAGUACUUUCAGUCGGGAGGCGUUACCGACAGAAGAAGCACCGGAUAACUCCGUGCCAGCAGCCGCGGUAAUUC